rnacentral:rRNA from 1 species
ACGAAGGGUGCAAGCGUUAAUCGGAAUUACUGGGCGUAAAGGGUGCGUAGGCGGUUCGUUAAGUCUGUCGUGAAAUCCCCGGGCUCAACCUGGGAAUGGCGAUGGAUACUGGCGAGCUAGAGUGUGUCAGAGGAUGGUGGAAUUCCCGGUGUAGCGGUGAAAUGCGUAGAGAUCGGGAGGAAGGCCGGUGGCGAAGGCGGCGCUCUGGAACAUUUCUGACGCUGAGGCUCGAAAGCGUGGGGAGCAAACAGGA